rnacentral:rRNA from 1 species
CCCUUAGAUGUUCUGGGCCGCACGCGCGCUACACUGAUGAACGCAACGAGACCACCUGUACCGAAAGGCAUGGGUAAACUUGUGAAAGUUCAUCGUGAUGGGGAUAGAUUAUUGCAAUUAUUAAUCUUCAACGAGGAAUGCCUAGUAGGCGCAAGUCAUCAGCUUGCGUCGAUUACGUCCCUGCCCUUUGUACACACCGCCCGUCGCUCCUACCGAUUGGGUGUGCUGGUGAAAUGUUCGGAUCGGCCGUUUGUCGCGGUUUCCGCGUCAUGUGGCUGAGAAGUUCAUUAAACCCUCCCACCUAGAGGAAGGAGAAGUCGUAACA